rnacentral:rRNA from 1 species
GGAUUAGCGGCGGACGGGUGAGUAACACGUGAGUAACCUGCCUUAGACAUUGGGAUAGCCUCGGGAAACCGGGAUUAAUACCAAAUAAAAUCAUAAUGACACAUGUCAUAACGAUCAAAACUCCGGUGGUCUAAGAUGGACUCGCGUCCCAUUAGCUAGUUGGUAGAGUAGAAGCCUACCAAGGCGACGAUGGGUAGCCGGCCUGAGAGGGUGAACGGCCACAUUGGAACUGAGAAACGGUCCAA